UACGUAGGGUGCAAGCGUUGUCCGGAAUUAUUGGGCGUAAAGAGCUCGUAGGCGGUCUGUCGCGUCUGCUGUGAAAACUCAGGGCUUAACCCUGAGCUUGCAGUGGGUACGGGCAGACUAGAGUGCGGUAGGGGAGACUGGAAUCCUGGUGUAGCGGUGAAAUGCGCAGAUAUCAGGAGGAACACCGGUGGCGAAGGCGGGUCUCUGGGCCGUAACUGACGCUGAGGAGCGAAAGCAUGGGGAGCGAACAGG
rnacentral:rRNA from 1 species